rnacentral:rRNA from 1 species
GAGUUUGAUCUUGGCUCAGGACGAACGCUGGCGGCGUGCUUAACACAUGCAAGUCACGGGGGCCCGCAAGGGUAACCGGCGAACGGGUGCGUAACACGUGAGCAACCUGCCUAGAUGUGGGGGAUAGCCGGCCCAACGGCCGGGUAAUACCGCAUACGGUCACGAGGAGGAGUCUCCUUGUGAAGAAACCUCCGGGGCAUUUAGAGGGGCUCGCGGCCUACCAGCUAGUUGGCGGGGUAAUGGCCCACCAAGGCAUCGACGGGUAGCUGGUCUGAGAGGAUGGCCAGCCACAUUGGGACUGAGAGACGGCCCCAGACUCCUACGGGAGGCAGCAGUGGGGAAUCUUGCGCAAUGGCCGAAAGGCUGACGCAGCGACGCCGCGUGUGGGAGGACGCCUC